AAAGGAAUAGACGGGGACCCGCACAAGCAGCGGAGCAUGUGGUUUAAUUCGAAGCAACGCGAAGAACCUUACCAAGACUUGACAUUACAUGAUUGCCCUAGAGAUAGGGAGUUCCUUCGGGACAUGUGGACAGGUGGUGCAUGGUUGUCGUCAGCUCGUGUCGUGAGAUGUUGGGUUAAGUCCCGCAACGAGCGCAACCCUUAUCAAUAGUUGCCAAUAUUAAGUUAGGAACUCUAUUGAGACUGCCGCGGAUAACGCGGAGGAAGGUGAGGAUGACGUCAAAUCAUCAUGCCCCUUACGUCUUGGGCUACACACGUGCUACAAUGGCUAUUACAAAGAGUCGCAAAACAGCAAUGUCAAGCCAAUCUCAUAAAGAUAGUCUCAGUUCGGAUUGUGGGCUGCAACUCGCCCACAUGAAGCUGGAGUUGCUAGUAAUCCCGAAUCAGAAUGUCGGGGUGAAUGCGUUCCCGGGUCUUGUACACACCGCCCGU
rnacentral:rRNA from 1 species